UUGCGGUUAAAAAGUCUGCGUAGUUGGAUUUCUGCUAAGGACGACCGACCGACCCAUACGGGUUUGUGUCUGGUUUGACCGAGGCAUCCUCCUGGAAGACGUGGUGCCUUUACUGGUAUCACGGAGUCCAGGACUUUUACUUUGAGGAAAUUAGAGUGUUUCAAGCAGGCAUUUGCCGUGAAUACAUUAGCAUGGAAUAAUAAGAUAGGACUUCGGUUCUAUUUUGUUGGUUUCUAGAACUGAAGUAAUGAUUAAUAGGGACAGUCGGGGGCAUUCGUACUUAAUUGUCAGAGGUGAAAUUCUUGGAUUUAUUAAAGACGAACUACUGCGAAAGCAUUUGCCAAGGAUGUUUUCAUUGAUCAAGAACGAAAGUUAGGGGAUCGAAGACGAUUAGAUACCGUCGUAGUCUUAACCAUAAACUAUGCCGACUAGGGAUUGGAGGAUGUUUUUGUGACACCUUCAGCACCUCGAGAGAAAUCAAA
rnacentral:rRNA from 1 species